rnacentral:rRNA from 1 species
GUACACUCCUGCGGGAGGCAGCAGUGGGGAAUAUUGGACAAUGGGCGCAAGCCUGAUCCAGCCAUGCCGCGUGAGUGAUGAAGGCCCUAGGGUUGUAAAGCUCUUUCACCGGUGAAGAUAAUGACGGUAACCGGAGAAGAAGCCCCGGCUAACUUCGUGCCAGCAGCCGCGGUAAUACGAAGGGGGCUAGCGUUGUUCGGAUUUACUGGGCGUAAAGCGCACGUAGGCGGACUAUUAAGUCAGGGGUGAAAUCCCGGGGCUCAACCCCGGAACUGCCUUUGAUACUGGUAGUCUUGAGUUCGAGAGAGGUGAGUGGAAUUCCGAGUGUAGAGGUGAAAUUCGUAGAUAUUCGGAGGAACACCAGUGGCGAAGGCGGCUCACUGGCUCGAUACUGACGCUGAGGUGCGAAAGCGUGGGGAGCAAACAGGAUUAGAAACCCUAGUAGUCCCAUG